AGUAAACUCCACUCUCCACUUCCAUUCCAGGUUUCAUCCCAGAGAAGCCUGUCCUCACUCCUGUAUGAAUAUUCCAGGUUUCUUUCAUUUUCCAUUCUUACUGAGAGAAUUGUCAGCAUGGACCCCCUGGAUUUUGAGGAAGCAGCAGCUUUCCCUGCCCAGCAUUCCCAUGCUUCAGGCAGCAAGAAAGAGGAACUCCCUGAAUCUCCUUGGACUCACUGAGGCAGAACUGGAAGAACAGUUUGUGAGAGGUGAUGGCCCAGGGGGUCAAGCCACAAAUAAGACAAACAACUGUGUUGUCCUGAAGCAUAUUCCAUCUGGGAUUGUAGUGAAGUGUCAUCAAACAAGAUCAGUGGAGAAGAACAGAAAGAUUGCCAGAGAAAUCCUGCAGGAAAAAGUUGAUCUUUUCUACAAAGGUGAAGAGAGUGAUGUUUAUAAAGAGAAAAAAGCAUCAGAGAAGAAGAAGCAGGAGAAAAAAAGAAGAGCAAAGGAAAACCUGGAAAGGAAAAAGCUUUUUAAAGAGGUGCAACAACUGGAUAAGAAAUGAACAUGUGAAAUACUGACUUGCCCUAGUGGGGUAAGGGAAAUGUGUCAUUAGACCUGAACACACCUUUCAGACUAACACGAUGUGGGGCUUCAGAGGCACAGCUGAAACACCCAGUGCUGACCUGCUGUUGCUGUAAAGGGAUAAAAGCACUCAGCACCCUCAGCAGCUGCCACCAAGUUUUGGCCUUCACCAAAGACCCAAAGCCAGAGUAUGGAUUUUGAAAACAGAGACCCUGAACUCCACCUCCUUUUCCCAGAGACUGACUGCAUCCCAACGGUGCCAUGGAUGGAAACUCAGCAGCAAACUGCAGCCCCUUCCCUUGUCCUUUCCUGAACUCCUGCAUGAAGGUUCAAUUUUUAUCUGUUUGACAGUUCUUGUUUGUGGAGUGUGAAUCUGAUUAAAGUGACUGUACAUAGUUUUAAUACAAACUGUUAAUGAAAAUAAGCUUUAUUACGUCAAGUAAUAAAUACAUACAAAGAUGCAAAUAACA